rnacentral:rRNA from 1 species
GAUGAACGCUGGCGGCGCGCCUAACACAUGCAAGUCGAACGAUUAAAGCACCUUCGGGUGUGUAUAAAGUGGCGAACGGCUGAGUAACACGGGGGCAACCUGCCCCUUUCAUUGGGAUAGCCACGGAAAACCGUGGAUAAUACCGAAUACUUCGGGACUUCCGCAUGGAAGACUCGAGAAAGUUCCGGCGGAGAGGGAUGGGCUCGCGGCCUGUUAGCUUGUUGGUGGGGUAAUGGCCUACCAAGGCAAUGAUGGGUAGCUGGGUUGAGAGACCGACCAGCCAGAUUGGGACUGAGACACGGCCCAGACUCCUACGGGAGGCAGCAGUGGGGAAUCUUGCACAAUGGGCGAAAGCCUGAUGCAGCGACGCCGCGUGCGGGAUGAAGGCCUUCGGGUUGUAAACCGCUUUCAGCAGGGACGAGGCGAAAGUGACGGUACCUGCAGAAGAAGCCCCGGCUAACUACGUG